rnacentral:rRNA from 1 species
GAUGAACGCUGGCGGCGUGCCUAACACAUGCAAGUCGAACGAAGCGAUUUAACGGAAGUUUUCGGAUGGAAGUUGAAUUGACUGAGUGGCGGACGGGUGAGUAACGCGUGGGUAAUCUGCCUUGUACUGGGGGACAACAGUUAGAAAUGACUGCUAGUACCGCAUAAGCGCACAGUAUCGCAUGAUACAGUGUGAAAAACUCCGGUGGUACAAGAUGGGCCCGCGUCUGAUUAGCUAGUUGGUAAGGUAACGGCUUACCAAGGCGACGAUCAGUAGCCGACCUGAGAGGAUGACCGGCCGCAUUGGGACUGAGACACGGCCCAA